rnacentral:tRNA from 1 species
GCCUGGGUGGCUCAGUCGGUUAAGCAUCCGACUUCAGUUCAGGUCAUGAUCUUGCAGUCCGUGAGUUUGAGCCCCGCCUCGGGCU